rnacentral:lncRNA from 1 species
UUCUUAUUAUUAUCAAGAAGCUUACCAUAGAUGUUCUUCGGGAUCGGCAGUUUAUAUGGAGGAAAUAAUAGACCUAUAGUAUGUGUUGUCUGUUGCAUUCGCUGGGAUGUGGCUAAAGUGGUAUCAGAAUCCAAUAGCUCCCACAUAUUCUUCUUAUCCUUCUUUAGUAUUGUGUCAACCCUCUGCUGCUUUGAAUCAUUGCUGGGAAAGACAUGGGGAUCUAAAUCAUGGUUGGUGGCUCCUAAUAGAAUUUUUUUGGAGGAUUUUUUUUCUGCUACCAAAAACUUUCAGUAUAGAUGCAAUACAACCACCGCCUCUACUGACGGCCUCCUUAACUAAGGAGGCCUUCCUAAACUUUGGAUCUGUG